GACGUAGGGCGCAAGCGUUGUCCGGAAUUAUUGGGCGUAAAGAGCUCGUAGGCGGCUUGUCACGUCGGGUGUGAAAGCCCGGGGCUUAACCCCGGGUCUGCAUUCGAUACGGGCUAGCUAGAGUGUGGUAGGGGAGAUCGGAAUCCCUGGUGUAGCGGUGAAAUGCGCAGAUAUCAGGAGGAACACCGGUGGCGAAGGCGGAUCUCUGGGCCAUUACUGACGCUGAGGAGCGAAAGCGUGGGGAGCGAACAGG
rnacentral:rRNA from 1 species